UACAGAGGUCUCAAGCGUUGUUCGGAUUCAUUGGGCGUAAAGGGUGCGUAGGCGGCGCGGUAAGUCGGGUGUGAAAUCUCGGAGCUUAACUCCGAAACUGCAUUCGAUACUGCCGUGCUUGAGGACUGGAGAGAAGACUGGAAUUUACGGUGUAGCGGUGAAAUGCGUAGAUAUCGUAAGGAAGACCAGUGGCGAAGGCGGGUCUCUGGGCCGAUACUGACGCUGAGGAGCGAAAGCGUGGGGAGCAAACAGG
rnacentral:rRNA from 1 species